GACGAGGGGGGGCGGGGCCGAGACCGUGGGGCGGAGCCAGAGACAGCGCCCACGACGGCCGCCAUCUUGGAAGAGGGCAAAGACACUCCUGGCACCCCCCCGCCCGUCACCUCCCUUCAGACGCCAGCGCCAUCUUUGAUCACCGUAAUCACCGCCUCUUUUUGCGCUCCCGGUUAUAACCUCUGGAGCCAUUUUGGGUUAGGUCAGUGUCGCCUAUGGCCUCCCUUGCCAAGCCCGCAGUUUCUGCCAUCUGGAUGCUUCCUCGUCCCUAUUCUCUCACCUAUAACCUCUGCCUCCAUAGUGGAUCAAGAAAAUGAUGCUUUCUUUCUCCCUUCUCAUCUUGCUUCUUCCAGUGGCUCUAGCGUCACCGCUAUGCACGUGAUCUAAUAACCUGCCAUUUUGGGUCAGGGUAAUACAGACGAAUAUUGCUUCCCAUCAACCCCAGGGACCAGUAAAGAAGAGCCUUUAUGGCGAGUGCGCUCUGCUCUUUCCCCAGAAGCCAGCUUGAAGUUUCAGUCUCUGAAGGUUUCUGCCCUGGCUUUUAAAUUUCAAGUUACUGGUACAGUGAAAGUCAACGAGAAGUGUGCCUUUUUUACUAUUCGACUGAAGUCGCACGUGUGGCUAAGGAUCCAGUGUCAUUUGUGAGGGUCUGGAAGAUUCAAGUGCGUCUUCCCACCCAAGCCAUGUGUGCUCACCUGUCGCCAAGGCGGGACCACGACGAGCACUAUUUAUGAUAGCCAAGAUGUGAAAACCACCUAGUGUCCAUUGAUGUAUGAAUGGAUCAAGAAAUUAUGUCACAGAUAAACAACAGAAUGCACGAGAUACAGCUCCAGUAAGAAGUCCAGCUGGAACUGACUUCACUUGGCUGAUUAAGCAGGAUCCAUCAGGGUAGUCUACAGCUGGUGGCAUGGCAAGAAAGAGGAGGCUGCAGAGACUGAACAAACAGCAUGCACUGUGGUAUCCUUUAUUUAAAAAUUGUGAGCUAACUACAGUUGUAGUGUUCUCAUUUACCAUUCUGAUGGCAUAAUAAACUGCGAGAACAUUAACACAAUUUCAAGACAUUAAAAAUCUGUAACAAACACACCACACAUGCACACACACACACAACAUACAUGCACACAAAGGUUAUAGUCUUCUAAACACAGUUAAGUGAAGAAAAGCUUCAAAAGCUCUAAAUCAAAUUUUAAAACCCUUUAUUAUAAACCGUGGCAAUACUGUGGCUAUUAUGAAAAAAUUGUAACUGCUAAAAAAGCAAAAAGAAAAAAUACUGGCAAAUUUGAAACUAGCAGCAAAAAGCAGAUAAAAAUAGAAUGGAAGGUAACAUAAGACUACUAUCAAAGUUCUGAAGUUGAUCCUGUG